rnacentral:rRNA from 1 species
UCGAUUUGAGUUUGAUCCUGGCUCAGGACGAACGCUGGCGGCGUGCUUAACACGUGCAAGUCGAACGAUGAAGCCCUUCGGGGUGGAUUAGUGGCGAACGGGUGAGUAACACGUGGGCAAUCUGCCCUUCACUCUGGGACAAGCCCUGGAAACGGGGUCUAAUACCGGAUAACACUUACCUCCUCCUGGGGGUUGGUUAAAAGCUCCGGCGGUGAAGGAUGAGCCCGCGGCCUAUCAGCUUGUUGGUGGGGUAAUGGCCUACCAAGGCGACGACGGGUAGCCGGCCUGAGAGGGCGACCGGCCAUACUGGGACUGAGACACGGCCCAGACUCCUACGGGAGGCAGCAGUGGGGAAUAUUGCACAAUGGGCGAAAGCCUGAUGCAGCGACGCCGCGUGAGGGAUGACGGCCUUCGGGUUGUAAACCUCUUUCAGCAGGGAAGAAGCGCAAGUGACGGUACCUGCAGAAGAAGCACCGGCUAACUACGUGCCAGCAGCCGCGGUAAUACGUAGGGUGCGAGCGUUGUCCGGAAUUAUUGGGCGUAAAGAGCUCGUAGGCGGUCUGUCACGUCGGAUGUGAAAGCCCGGGGCUUAACCCCGGGUCUGCAUUCGAUACGGGCAGACUAGAGUGUGGUAGGGGAGAUCGGAAUUCCUGGUGUAGCGGUGAAAUGCGCAGAUAUCAGGAGGAACACCGGUGGCGAAGGCGGAUCUCUGG